GACGAACGCUGGCGGCGUGCUUAACGCAUGCAAGUCGAACGGAAAGGCCCUGCUUUUGUGGGGUGCUCGAGUGGCGAACGGGUGAGUAACACGUGGGCAACCUGCCCUUGACUUUGGGAUAACUUCAGGAAACUGGGGCUAAUACCGGAUAGGAGCUCCUGCUGCAUGGUGGGGGUUGGAAAGUUUCGGCGGUUGGGGAUGGACUCGCGGCUUAUCAGCUUGUUGGUGGGGUAGUGGCUUACCAAGGCUUUGACGGGUAGCCGGCCUGAGAGGGUGACCGGCCACAUUGGGACUGAGAUACGGCCCAGACUCCUACGGGAGGCAGCAGUGGGGAAUAUUGCACAAUGGGGGGAAGCCUGAUGCAGCAACGCCGCGUGCGGGAUGACGGCCUUCGGGUUGUAAACCGCUUUCGCCUGUGACGAAGCGUGAGUGACGGUAAUGGGUAAAGAAGCACCGGCUAACUACGUG
rnacentral:rRNA from 1 species